GAUGAACGCUGGCGGCGUGCCUAAUACAUGCAAGUCGAGCGAACAGACGAGGAGCUUGCUCCUCUGACGUUAGCGGCGGACGGGUGAGUAACACGUGGAUAACCUACCUAUAAGACUGGGAUAACUUCGGGAAACCGGAGCUAAUACCGGAUAAUAUAUUGAACCGCAUGGGUCAAGAGUGAAAGACGGUUGUGGUGUCACUUAUAGAUUGAUCCGCGCCGCAUUAGCUAGUUGGUAAGGUAACGGCUUAGCAAGGCAACGAUGCGUAGCCGACCUGAGAGGGUGAUCGGCCACACUGGAACUGAGACACGGUCCAGACUCCUACAGGAGGCAGCAGUAGGGAAUCUUCCGCAAUGGGCGAAAGCCUGACGGAGCAACGCCGCGUGAGUGAUGAAGGUCUUCGGAUCGUAAAACUCUGUUAUUAGGGAAGAACAAAUGUGUAAGUAACUAUGCACGUCUUGACGGUACCUAAUCAGAAAGCCACGGCUAACUACGUG
rnacentral:rRNA from 1 species